CAGCCGCCGCGGGAAUACGGAGGGUGCAAGCGUUAAUCGGAAUUACUGGGCGUAAAGCGUGCGUAGGCGGUUCGUUAAGUCUGUUGUGAAAGCCCCGGGCUCAACCUGGGAAUGGCAAUGGAUACUGGCGAGCUAGAGUGUGUCAGAGGAUGGUGGAAUUCCCGGUGUAGCGGUGAAAUUCGUAGAUAUAGGGAAGAACACCGGUGGCGAAGGCGGCAACCUGGUCCUUGACUGACGCUGAGGCGCGAAAGCGUGGGGAGCAAACAGGAUUAGAUACCCCAGUAGUCCCUGUCUCUUAUAC
rnacentral:rRNA from 1 species